GGCCACGUGGUGAAGUAGCUAAACACAGGGGUCUGCAAAACCCCCAUUCGCGGGUGCAACUCCCGCCGUGGCCU
rnacentral:tRNA from 1 species